rnacentral:rRNA from 1 species
CGUAUCACCCAAGACAACUUUACGGAGUUGACGAUUGACGGAGCGAAGCGACGUCAAAGCGUUCAUUAAAGUCGAGUUGGCUUAGGGAUACGUUCGUUGGGUAGGGGAGCGUUCUGUAAGCCUGUGAAGGUGGCCUGUGAGGGUUGCUGGAGGUAUCAGAAGUGCGAAUGCUGACAUAAGUAACGAUAAAGCGGGUGAAAAGCCCGCUCGCCGGAAGACCAAGGGUUCCUGUCCAACGUUAAUCGGGGCAGGGUGAGUCGACCCCUAAGGCGAGGCCGAAAGGCGUAGUCGAUGGGAAACGGGUUAAUAUUCCCGUACUUGGUGUUACUGCGAAGGGGGGACGGAGAAGGCUAUGUUGGCCGGGCGACGGUUGUCCCGGUUUAAGCGUGUAGGUGUGUGUUCCAGGUAAAUCCGGUUCACUUUAACACUGAGGCGUGACGACGAGGCACUACGGUGCUGAAGCAACAAAUGCCCUGCUUCCAGGAAAAGCCUCUAAGCAUCAGGUAACAUCAAAUCGUACCCCAAACCGACACAGGUGGUCAGGUAGAGAAUACCAAGGCGCUUGAGAGAACUCGGGUGAAGGAACUAGGCAAAAUGGUGCCGUAACUUCGGGAGAAGGCACGCUGACACGUAGGUGAAGUGAUUUACUCAUGGAGCUGAAGUCAGUCGAAGAUACCAGCUGGCUGCAACUGUUUAUUAAAAACACAGCACUGUGCAAACACGAAAGUGGACGUAUACGGUGUGACGCCUGCCCGGUGCCGGAAGGUUAAUUGAUGGGGUCAGCGCAAGCGAAGCUCCUGAUCGAAGCCCCGGUAAACGGCGGCCGUAACUAUAACGGUCCUAAGGUAGCGAAAUUCCUUGUCGGGUAAGUUCCGACCUGCACGAAUGGCGUAAUGAUGGCCAGGCUGUCUCCACCCGAGACUCAGUGAAAUUGAACUCGCUGUGAAGAUGCAGUGUACCCGCGGCAAGACGGAAAGACCCCGUGAACCUUUACUAUAGCUUGACACUGAACAUUGAGCCUUGAUGUGUAGGAUAGGUGGGAGGCUUUGAAGUGUGGACGCCAGUCUGCAUGGAGCCGACCUUGAAAUACCACCCUUUAAUGUUUGAUGUUCUAACGUGGACCCGUGAUCCGGGUUGCGGACAGUGUCUGGUGGGUAGUUUGACUGGGGCGGUCUCCUCCUAAAGAGUAACGGAGGAGCACGAAGGUUGGCUAAUCCUGGUCGGACAUCAGGAGGUUAGUGCAAUGGCAUAAGCCAGCUUGACUGCGAGCGUGACGGCGCGAGCAGGUGCGAAAGCAGGUCAUAGUGAUCCGGUGGUUCUGAAUGGAAGGGCCAUCGCUCAACGGAUAAAAGGUACUCCGGGGAUAACAGGCUGAUACCGCCCAAGAGUUCAUAUCGACGGCGGUGUUUGGCACCUCGAUGUCGGCUCAUCACAUCCUGGGGCUGAAGUAGGUCCCAAGGGUAUGGCUGUUCGCCAUUUAAAGUGGUACGCGAGCUGGGUUUAGAACGUCGUGAGACAGUUCGGUCCCUAUCUGCCGUGGGCGCUGGAGAACUGAGGGGGGCUGCUCCUAGUACGAGAGGACCGGAGUGGACGCAUCACUGGUGUUCGGGUUGUCAUGCCAAUGGCACUGCCCGGUAGCUAAAUGCGGAAGAGAUAAGUGCUGAAAGCAUCUAAGCACGAAACUUGCCCCGAGAUGAGUUCUCCCUGAGACUUUAAGUCUCCUGAAGGAACGUUGAAGACGACGACGUUGAUAGGCCGGGUGUGUAAGCGCAGCGAUGCGUUGAGCUAACCGGUACUAAUGAACCGUGAGGCUUAACCUUACA